rnacentral:rRNA from 1 species
AUUGAACGCUGGCGGCAGGCCUAAAACAUGCAAGUCGAACGAGUGGCGGACGGGUGAGUAAUGUCUGGGAAACUGCCUGAUGGAGGGGGAUAACUAAUGGAAACGGUAGAUAAUACCGCAUACCAUCGGAUGUGCCCAGCUGGGAUGAGCUAGUAGGUGGGGUAAAGGCUCACCUAGGCGACGAUCACUAGCUGGUCUGAGAGGAUGACCAGCCACACUGGAACUGAGACACGGUCCAGACUCUUACGGGAGGCAGCAGUGGGGAAUAUUGCACAAUGGGCGCAAGCCUGAUGCAGCCAGGCCGCGUGUAUGAAGAAGGCCUUCGGGUUGUAAAGUACUUUCAGCGGGGAGGCGUUACCCGCAGAAGAAGCACCGUCUAACUCCGUGCCAGCAGCCGCGGUAAUUC